rnacentral:rRNA from 1 species
GAUGAACGCUGGCGGCGUGCCUAAUACAUGCAAGUCGAGCGAACAGACGAGGAGCUUGCUCCUUUGACGUUAGCGGCGGACUGGUGAGUAACACGUAGGUAACCUACCUAUAAGACUGGGAUAACUUCGGGAAACCGGAGCUAAUACCGGAUAAUAUUUCGAACCGCAUGGUUCGAUAGUGAAAGAUGGCUUUGCUAUCACUUAUAGAUGGACCUGCGCCGUAUUAGCUAGUUGGUAAGGUAACGGCUUACCAAGGCAACGAUACGUAGCCGACCUGAGAGGGUGAUCGGCCACACUGGAACUGAGACACGGUCCAGACUCCUACGGGAGGCAGCAGUAGGGAAUCUUCCGCAAUGGGCGAAAGCCUGACGGAGCAACGCCGCGUGAGUGAUGAAGGUCUUCGGAUCGUAAAACUCUGUUAUUAGGGAAGAACAAACGUGUAAGUAACUGUGCACGUCUUGACGGUACCUAAUCAGAAAGCCACGGCUAACUACGUG